rnacentral:pre_miRNA from 1 species
UCUGUGUGCUGGGCGAGGGCAGGGCCUGAGAGCUGGCGGCUGGUGCUCGAGUGCCUCUGGGCCCUUCCUCCAGCUCAGACUCGGAUU